rnacentral:rRNA from 1 species
AAUGAACGUUGGCGGCGUGGAUUAGGCAUGCAAGUCGUACGUGUACCCGCAAGGGGAAAGUGGCGAAAGGGAGAGGAAUACGUGGGUUACCAACCUUCUGGUCGGGGAUAGCGGCGGGAAACUGCCAUUAAUACCCGAUAAUGUCUGCGGACCAAAGGUGUGAUUCCGCCGGAAGACGGGCCCGCGUCCUAUUAGCUAGUUGGUAGGGUAAUGGCCUACCAAGGCAAUGAUGGGUAUGGGGCGUGAGAGCGUGCCCCCACUCACUGGGACUGCGACACUGCCCAGACACCUACGGGUGGCUGCAGUCGAGGAUCUUCGGCAAUGGGCGCAAGCCUGACCGAGCGACGCCGCGUGUGGGAUGAAGGCCUUCGGGUUGUAAACCACUGUCGUAGGGGAGGAAGGCCGUGUGCAGAGCACGGUUUGACCGAUCCUAGGAGGAAGUCCAGGCUAACCUCGUGCCAGCCGCCGCGGUAAAAC